UACGAAGGGGCUAGCGUUGCUCGGAAUCACUGGGCGUAAAGCGCACGUAGGCGGAUUGCUAAGUCAGGGGUGAAAUCCUGGAGCUCAACUCCAGAACUGCCUUUGAUACUGGCGACCUUGAGUCCGGGAGAGGUGAGUGGAACUGCGAGUGUAGAGGUGAAAUUCGUGAGAUAUUCGCAAGAACACCAGUGGCGAAGGCGGCUCACUGGCCCGGUACUGACGCUGAGGUGCGAAAGCGU
rnacentral:rRNA from 1 species